rnacentral:tRNA from 1 species
GUAGAUAUAGUUUAAUAAAAACACUAGAUUGUGAUUCUAGUAAUAGAGGUUAAACCCCUCUUAUCCACC